AUGGCAAUUGUCCAUACUUACGGGAAGCCUGACAUCUUCUUGACCAUGACCUGCAAUCCUAACUGGGAAGAGAUAACGAAUGAGUUGUUUCCUGGACAGACAGCGCAAGACCGACCUGAUCUUGUGGCUCGUGUGUUCCAUGGCAAGCUAGAGGCUAUGAAAGAGAUGUUGUUCAAGAAGAAUAUACUGGGUGUUGUUGUUGCACAUGUAUGCGUAGUCGAGUUCCAAAAGAGGGGCCUC
rnacentral:rRNA from 1 species